rnacentral:rRNA from 1 species
GACGAACGCUGGCGGCGUGCUUAACACAUGCAAGUCGAACGAAGAGCGAUGGAAGCUUGCUUCUAUCAAUCUUAGUGGCGAACGGGUGAGUAACGCGUAAUCAACCUGCCCUUCAGAGGGGGACAACAGUUGGAAACGACUGCUAAUACCGCAUACGAUCUAAUCUCGGCAUCGAGGAUAGAUGAAAGGUGGCCUCUACAUGUAAGCUAUCACUGAAGGAGGGGAUUGCGUCUGAUUAGCUAGUUGGAGGGGUAACGGCCCACCAAGGCGAUGAUCAGUAGCCGGUCUGGGAGGAUGAACGGCCACAUUGGGACUGAGACACGGCCCAGACUCCUACGGGAGGCAGCAGUGGGGAAUCUUCCGCAAUGGACGAAAGUCUGACGGAGCAACGCCGCGUGAGGGAGGACGGCCGUCGGGUUGUAAAGCUCUGUUAAUCGGGACGAAAGGCCUUCUUGCGAAUAGUGAGAAGGAUUGACGGUACCGGAAUAGAAAGCCACGGCUAACUACGUG